GGCUAGGUAGCUCAGUCGGUAGAGCAGAGGACUGAAAAUCCUUGUGCCGGGGGUUCGAUUCCCUCCCUAGCCA
rnacentral:tRNA from 1 species